CUGUUUCCUGUUGCCACCCCGGCGAGAGUCGGGAGCACUCUGGACAGACUGCCUCGCUUAAACGAGGAGGAAGGUGGGGGUGACGUCAAGUCAGUAUGGCCCUUACGGCCAGGGCUGCACACGUACUACAAUGCCCGGCACAAAGGGAAGCGAGACCGUCAGUGGAGCAAAUCCCCGAAAACCGGGCCCAGUUCAGAUCGUCGUCUGCAACUCGACGGCGUGAAGUUGGAAUCGCUAGUAAUGGCGCAUCAGCUACGGCGCCGUGAAUACGUUCCCAGGCCUU
rnacentral:rRNA from 1 species